rnacentral:rRNA from 1 species
AGCAGCCGCGGUAAUUCCAGCUCCAAUAGCGUAUAUUAAAGUUGUUGCAGUUAAAAAGCUCGUAGUUGAACUUCGGGAUCAAUUAGUUGGUCAUGCCUUGGUAUGUACUGAUUUUAUUGGUUCUCACCUUCUAAAGAACUAUAAUGUCAUUUAUUUGAUGUUAUAGGGAAUUAGGACUGUUACCUUGAAAAAAUUAGAGUGUUUAAAGCAGGCUCACGCUUGAAUACAUUAGCAUGGAAUAAUGAAAUAGGACAUCGCAUUCUAUUUUGUUGGUUUCUAGGAUCGAUGUAAUGAUUAAUAGGGAUAGUUGGGGGCAUUAGUAUUCAAUUGUCAGAGGUGAAGUUCUUGGAUUUAUUGAAGACUAACUACUGCGAAAGCAUUUGCCAAGGAUGUUUUCAUUAAUCAAGAACGAAAGUUAGGGGAUCGAAGACGAUCAGAUACCGUCGUAGUCUUAACCAUAAACUAUGCCGACUAGGGAUCGGAUGAUG